rnacentral:rRNA from 1 species
UCUACCCUUGGUCAGGUUGAAGUUCAGGUAACACUGAAUGGAGGACCGAACCGACUUACGUUGAAAAGUGAGCGGAUGAACUGAGGGUAGCGGAGAAAUUCCAAUCGAACCUGGAGAUAGCUGGUUCUCUCCGAAAUAGCUUUAGGGCUAGCCUCAAGUGAUGAUUAUUGGAGGUAGAGCACUGUUUGGACGAGGGGCCCCUCUCGGGUUACCGAAUUCAGACAAACUCCGAAUGCCAAUUAAUUUAACUUGGGAGUCAGAACAUGGGUGAUAAGGUCCGUGUUCGAAAGGGAAACAGCCCAGACCACCAGCUAAGGUCCCAAAAUAUAUGUUAAGUGGAAAAGGAUGUGGCGUUGCCCAGACAACUAGGAUGUUGGCUUAGAAGCAGCCAUCAUUUAAAGAGUGCGUAAUAGCUCACUAGUCGAGUGACACUGCGCCGAAAAUGUACCGGGGCUAAACAUAUUACCGAAGCUGUGGAUUGUCCUUUGGACAAUGGUAGGAGAGCGUUCUAAGGGCGUUGAAGCAUGAUCGUAAGGACAUGUGGAGCGCUUAGAAGUGAGAAUGCCGGUGUGAGUAGCGAAAGACGGGUGAGAAUCCCGUCCACCGAUUGACUAAGGUUUCCAGAGGAAGGCUCGUCCGCUCUGGGUUAGUCGGGUCCUAAGCUGAGGCCGACAGGCGUAGGCGAUGGAUAACAGGUUGAUAUUCCUGUACCACCUAUAAUCGUUUUAAUCGAUGGGGGGACGCAGUAGGAUAGGCGAAGCGUGCGAUUGGAUUGCACGUCUAAGCAGUAAGGCUGAGUAUUAGGCAAAUCCGGUACUCGUUAAGGCUGAGCUGUGAUGGGGAGAAGACAUUGUGUCUUCGAGUCGUUGAUUUCACACUGCCGAGAAAAGCCUCUAGAUAGAAAAUAGGUGCCCGUACCGCAAACCGACACAGGUAGUCAAGAUGAGAAUUCUAAGGUGAGCGAGCGAACUCUCGUUAAGGAACUCGGCAAAAUGACCCCGUAACUUCGGGAGAAGGGGUGCUCUUUAGGGUUAACGCCCAGAAGAGCCGCAGUGAAUAGGCCCAAGCGACUGUUUAUCAAAAACACAGGUCUCUGCUAAACCGUAAGGUGAUGUAUAGGGGCUGACGCCUGCCCGGUGCUGGAAGGUUAAGAGGAGUGGUUAGCUUCUGCGAAGCUACGAAUCGAAGCCCCAGUAAACGGCGGCCGUAACUAUAACGGUCCUAAGGUAGCGAAAUUCCUUGUCGGGUAAGUUCCGACCCGCACGAAAGGCGUAACGAUUUGGGCACUGUCUCAACGAGAGACUCGGUGAAAUCAUAGUACCUGUGAAGAUGCAGGUUACCCGCGACAGGACGGAAAGACCCCGUGGAGCUUUACUGUAGCCUGAUAUUGAAAUUCGGCACAGCUUGUACAGGAUAGGUAGGAGCCUUUGAAACGUGAGCGCUAGCUUACGUGGAGGCGCUGGUGGG